CCUACGGGUGGCAGCAGUGAGGAAUAUUGGUCAAUGGGCGGAAGCCUGAACCAGCCAAGCCGCGUGAGGGAUUAAGGCCCUGCGGGUCGUAAACCUCUUUUGCCGGGGAGCAGAGGUCCGGACGUGUCCGGGCCGGGAGAGUACCCGGAGAAAAAGCAUCGGCUAACUCCGCGCCAGCAGCCGCGGUAAUACGGAGGAUGCGAGCGUUAUCCGGAUUUAUUGGGUUUAAGGGGUGCGUAGGCGGGCAUUUAAGCCGGCGGUCAAAUGUCGGGGCUCACGCCCGGCGUGCCGUCGGAACUGGGUGCCUUGAGUGGGCGAGAAGUAUGCGGAAUGCGUGGUGUAGCGGUGAAAUGCAUAGAUAUCACGCAGAACCCCGAUUGCGAAGGCAGCAUACCGGCGCCCUACUGACGCUGAGGCACGAAAGUGCGGGUAUCGAACAGGAUUAGAUACCCCUGUAGUC
rnacentral:rRNA from 1 species